rnacentral:rRNA from 1 species
AGAGUUUGAUCCUGGCUCAGAUUGAACGCUGGCGGCAUGCCUUACACAUGCAAGUCGAACGGCAGCGCGGGCUUCGGCCUGGCGGCGAGUGGCGAACGGGUGAGUAAUACAUCGGAACGUGCCCUGUCGUGGGGGAUAACUAGUCGAAAGAUUAGCUAAUACCGCAUACGACCUGAGGGUGAAAGCGGGGGACCGGUAACGGCCUCGCGCGAUAGGAGCGGCCGAUGUCUGAUUAGCUAGUUGGUGGGGUAAAGGCCUACCAAGGCGACGAUCAGUAGCUGGUCUGAGAGGACGAUCAGCCACACUGGGACUGAGACACGGCCCAGACUCCUACGGGAGGCAGCAGUGGGGAAUUUUGGACAAUGGGGGCAACCCUGAUCCAGCAAUGCCGCGUGUGUGAAGAAGGCCUUCGGGUUGUAAAGCACUUUUGUCCGGAAAGAAAUGGCUCUGGCUAAUACCCGGGGUCGAUGACGGUACCGGAAGAAUAGCACCGGCUAACUACGUGCCAGCAGCCGCGGUAAUACGUAGGGUGCGAGCGUNNAUCGGAAUUACUGGGCGUAAAGCGUGCGCAGGCGGUUUGAUAAGACAGGCGUGAAACCCCGGGCUCAACCUGGGAAUGGCGCUUGUGACUGU